CGGGUGAGUAACACGUAUCCAACCUGCCGUCUACUCUUGGACAGCCUUCUGAAAGGAAGAUUAAUACAAGAUGGCAUCAUGAGUUCACAUGUUCACAUGAUUAAAGGUAUUCCGGUAGACGAUGGGGAUGCGUUCCAUUAGAUAGCAGGCGGGGUAACGGCCCACCUAGUCUUCGAUGGAUAGGGGUUCUGAGAGGAAGGUCCCCCACAUUGGAACUGAGACACGGUCCAA
rnacentral:rRNA from 1 species